rnacentral:rRNA from 1 species
GCUUACGGGAGGCAGCAGUGGGGAACCUUGCACAAGUGGAGGCAACUCUGAAUGCAGCGACGCCGCGUGAGCGAUGAAGCCCUUCGGGGUGUAAAGCUCUUUCGACGGGGACGAUAAUGACGGUACCCGGAGAAGAAGCUGCGGCUAACUACGUGCCAGCAGCCGCGGUAAUACGUAGGCAGCGAGCGUUGUUCGGAAUUACUGGGCGUAAAGAGUGUGUAGGCGGUGCUCUAAGUUCGGUGUGAAAUCUCCUGGCUUAACUGGGAGGGUGCGCCGGAAACUGGAAUGCUCGAGCGUGGGAGAGGUAAGCGGAAUUCCUGGUGUAGCGGUGAAAUGCGUAGAUAUCAGGAGGAACACCUGUGGUGUAGACAGCUUACUGGACCAUUGCUGACGCUGAGACACGAAAGCGUGGGUAGCAAACAGGAUUAGAUACCCUGGUAGUCCACGCCCUAAACGAUGCAUACUUGGUGUCGGCCAUUCAGUUGGUCGGUGCCGGAGCUAACGCGUUAAGUAUGCCGCCUGGGGAGU